rnacentral:rRNA from 1 species
AGCGAACGCUGGCGGCAGGCUUAACACAUGCAAGUCGAGCGCCCCGCAAGGGGCCCGGCAGACGGGAGCGUAACACGUGGGAACGUACCCUUUGGUUCGGAACCACCCAGGGAAACUUGGGCUAAUACCGGAUACGUCCGGAAGGGGAAAGAUUUAUCGCUAAAGGAUCGGCCCGCGUCUGAUUAGCUAGUUGGUGAGGUAACGGCUCACCAAGGCGACGAUCCGUAGCUGGGCUGAGACGAUGAUCAGCCUCACUGGGACUGAGACACGGCCCGGACUCCUGCGGUAGGAAGAAGUGGGGAAGAUGGGACAAUGGGUGCAAGCCUGAGCAGCCAUGCCGCGUGGGUGAUGAAGGCCCUAGGGUUGUAAAGCCCUUUCGGCGGGGAAGAUAAUGACGGUACCCGCAGAAGAAGCCCCGGCUAACUUCGUGCCAGCCGCCGCAGUAA